UGAGUAUAGCUCAGUGGUAGAGCUCGUGCUUAGCAUGUGUAAGGUCAUGGGUUCAAUCCCCACUACCUCAA
rnacentral:tRNA from 1 species